rnacentral:lncRNA from 1 species
UUAUAAUUUUUUUAUUUUCAAAAUAACUUGGUAUUCCAAAUGUGCAUAACCAGAGGUUUAAAAUAAUCCUCAAAAUAUGAAUGAUUCGAUAGUCCAGACUGAACACCUGAAUUUUUUUAAUGUCCAGCUAGUAUGUUACAAUCUUAAGAAAUGACGUUUUAACGCUAUUUUCUGAAAAGGGUCCACGACAUAAUCGCUAAUCAUUUCCAUUUCACUGCUCUUAGCAUAUAUCUAUUUAUAUUUCCAGAAUGUGCAUUUGCUGCACUUUUUUGUUCGAAAGAAAAAAGAAAUAUGUUGAACGUAAAUAUUUAAAGUUAUGUGAUAAACUAAGUGUCCAGUGUUUUUGUUACGCGCUUGUUUUCUGGAGGAAAAUGCCGACGUCGUUAAUGGUUUUAGUAAUUUGAAGACGUUACGUUUGUGGACUCAGCUUUGUGCACACCGUCUAUCU